rnacentral:rRNA from 1 species
AGAGUUUGAUCCUGGCUCAGGACGAACGCUGGCGGCGUGCUUAACACAUGCAAGUCGAACGAGAAUCUACUGAAAGAGUUUUCGGACAAUGGAUGUAGAGGAAAGUGGCGGACGGGUGAGUAACGCGUGAGGAACCUGCCUUGAAGAGGGGGACAACAGUUGGAAACGACUGCUAAUACCGCAUGACGCAUAGAGGUCGCAUGAUCUUUAUGCCAAAGAUUUAUCGCUUCAAGAUGGCCUCGCGUCUGAUUAGCUGGUUGGCGGGGUAACGGCCCACCAAGGCGACGAUCAGUAGCCGGACUGAGAGGUUGAACGGCCACAUUGGGACUGAGAUACGGCCCAGACUCCUACGGGAGGCAGCAGUGGGGAAUAUUGGGCAAUGGGCGCAAGCCUGACCCAGCAACGCCGCGUGAAGGAAGAAGGCUUUCGGGUUGUAAACUUCUUUUAAGAGGGAAGAGUAGAAGACGGUACCUCUAGAAUAAGCCACGGCUAACUACGUGCCAGCAGCCGCGGUAAUACGUAGGUGGCAAGCGUUGUCCGGAUUUACUGGGUGUAAAGGGCGUGCAGCCGGGUCUGCAAGUCAGAUGUGAAAUCCAUGGGUUCAACCCAUGAACUGCAUUUGAAACUGUGGAUCUUGAGUGUCGGAGGGGCAAUCGGAAUUCCUAGUGUAGCGGUGAAAUGCGUAGAUAUUAGGAGGAACACCAGUGGCGAAGGCGGAUUGCUGGACGAUAACUGACGGUGAGGCGCGAAAGUGUGGGGAGCAAACAGGAUUAGAUACCCUGGUAGUCCACACCGUAAACGAUGAUUACUAGGUGUUGGAGGAUUGACCCCUUCAGUGCCGCAGUUAACACAAUAAGUAAUCCACCUGGGGAGUACGACCGCAAGGUUGAAACUCAAAGGAAUUGACGGGGGCCCGCACAAGCAGUGGAGUAUGUGGUUUAAUUCGACGCAACGCGAAGAACCUUACCAAGUCUUGACAUCCCUUGACGAUGCUGGAAACAGUAUUUCUCUUCGGAGCAAGGAGACAGGUGGUGCAUGGUUGUCGUCAGCUCGUGUCGUGAGAUGUUGGGUUAAGUCCCGCAACGAGCGCAACCCUUAUGGUCAGUUACUACGCAAGAGGACUCUGGCCAGACUGCCGUUGACAAAACGGAGGAAGGUGGGGAUGACGUCAAAUCAUCAUGCCCUUUAUGACUUGGGCUACACACGUACUACAAUGGCGUUAAACAAAGAGAAGCAAGACCGCGAGGUGGAGCAAAACUCAGAAACAACGUCCCAGUUCGGACUGCAGGCUGCAACUCGCCUGCACGAAGUCGGAAUUGCUAGUAAUCGUGGAUCAGCAUGCCACGGUGAAUACGUUCCCGGGCCUUGUACACACCGCCCGUCACACCAUGAGAGCCGGGGGGACCCGAAGUCGGUAGUCUAACCACAAGGAGGACGCCGCCGAAGGUAAAACUGGUGAUUGGGGUGAAGUCGUAACAAGGUA